UUGGCGCAGACGUUAUUGCUCCCGAACAAUUAAGAACAAAUGUUGUAAACUACAUAUCAACACAUCCUAGUUUUGAGGGCAGUCAAGGCAUUGUGUUAUUAGAAAACUUCGUUGAAGACAAUUUUCCGGACUACUGUGACAGGAUGUUACAGAAUGGAGAGUACGCAGACCAUGUUGUGGUCAUUGGAAUGUCCAGAAUGCUACAGAGAGACAUAGUUAUUGUCACCAGUGCUCCCAGUACCAAUAAUGAGGAUAGUGUCCUUUGGGUAACUGGUUGUGAUGGUUUUUCCGGUAAUCCUAUUCUUCUUGGGCACAUUUUCGAAAACCACUACCAGUCACUCCAGCCAAAAGGUGACAGUGGCAAACUUGAUCACCACACGAAUGAUAAGCAUGCAACAAAUGAUGAUAACCUUUUUAUUCCUGUUGAUGUGUGCAACGAAGAACUCAGCAACUAUAACAUGACACAUGAUGUUGAAG